AUAAGGUGCUGCUGGGGGCCAAAUUAUACAAUACACAAGAUCCAGCGCACUCACCUAUCCACUAAACAGCAACUUCAAUGCUGACAGAUUUUAUUAGUUUGUUUUUUAAAAACACCUAAUCUAAGCAAAAAUAAUGGGGGUUUAGUUACAUUAUAUGAUCAUACAGGUCAUAUAGGUUCAGAUCUUGCCUCCGUCGGUAAGUGUUAAAACCAGUGUUGACAGG